rnacentral:rRNA from 1 species
ACUCCUACGGGAGGCAGCAGUAGGGAAUAUUGGACAAUGGGCGAAAGCCUGAUCCAGCAAUGCCGCGUGAGUGAUGAAGGCCUUAGGGUUGUAAAGCUCUUUCGGCGGGGACGAUGAUGACGGUACCCGCAGAAGAAGCCCCGGCUAACUUCGUGCCAGCAGCCGCGGUAAUA